rnacentral:lncRNA from 1 species
CUCACAAGAAGUGGAAACUAACUUCAGAUAACUGGAACAUAAAGUAAAUAUUUUAAAUCAUUUGCCAGAUGAGAAGGCUGUUAUAGAAAGUUGCAUGUAAUUUGAAAACCUUAUAACCACAAACUUAGGAAGAAGUCGGAAGCACAUAAUUUUGGUGUUUCCACCCAGGCCAGCAGCACACGGGGUCCAUGGUAAAGGAGAAACACAGAGCAAGAAGGAAGCUACGGGGAGCCACUCAAAGAAAGAAAAACAUGAUAGCAAUCCAAAUUGAAUUUCCUGCUUUUCAAGGAGGCAUGGAUAAAAAUAAAACACAAAUGAAUAUUACAUAAAAGCAGGCAAAACCAUGACCUGGAAAGAUUCAGAAUGGAAUCAGCAAAUAUGAUGUUAUAGCUGAUAGAACCAUAAAACAAUUGGAAAAAAAAGUAAGGAUUUGGCCAUCAGAAAAAGUAUGAACAGCAAACUGACCGUUUAGGGCUUUCUUAUGAAAGAAAAAAGCUAAUAUUCCUACUAUAGUGUCAGAAAUGUGAAGUAAUAAA